rnacentral:rRNA from 1 species
AAGCGCUUGCAACCAGACUCGCAUGCUGCUGAUCACCCGGUGUUCUCACCGGUGCACUCGGUAGUCUACGGGCCAGCAUCGGUUCUAGUGGUAGGAUAAAGGCUGCGGGAAUGUGGCUCCUCUUGGGGAGUGUUAUAGCCCGCGGUGCAAUGCUGCCUACUGGGACCGAGGACCGCGCUUCGGCUAGGAUGCUGGCGUAAUGGUUGUAAGCGA